rnacentral:rRNA from 1 species
GUGGGGAAUCUUGCGCAAUGGGCGAAAGCCUGACGCAGCCAUGCCGCGUGAAUGAUGAAGGUCUUAGGAUUGUAAAAUUCUUUCACCGGGGACGAUAAUGACGGUACCCGGAGAAGAAGCACCGGCUAACUUCGUGCCAGCAGCCGCGGUAAUACGAAGGGGGCUAGCGUUGCACGGAAUUACUGGGCGUAAAGGGCGCGUAGGCGGACAGUUUAGUCAGAGGUGAAAGCCCAGGGCUCAACCUUGGAAUUGCCUUUGAUACUGGCUGUCUUGAGUACGGGAUAGGUGAGUGGAACUCCGAGUGUAGAGGUGAAAUUCGUAGAUAUUCGGAAGAACACCAGUGGCGAAGGCGACUCACUGGCCCGUUACUGACGCUGAGGCGCGAAAGCGUGGGGAGCAAACAGGAUUAGAAACCCGAGUAGUCC